rnacentral:lncRNA from 1 species
CACAUUCCCAUCUAUUCUUAUUUUCUCUUCGAUAACCCGCAGGAAACACAAAAUUCAGACAUGGUAGGCAUCAUGAAUUUUAGCAGGGCAAGCUUUGCUGAAGAUGUUGCAUACAUUACUAGGUUUGUGAAUUGCUGUUUCGACGGAUUAAUUACACACCGUGUUUGUUGACUAAGUUUCUCACUGCGACUUGGCAAUUUUUGACAGAGGUUGGAGGAAAAGGGAACAGAGAUGCUAUCCUGAUAUAUAUCUUGUCAAGGUGACGAUCCUCGCCGAAUCAGUUUGACCAACUCAAUCGAUUUGGAAAAUACA